UGUAGGGUUAACAUGGAGUUGCUUAGAAGCCAGUCCAGUAUUCCGGAGGGUUCUGUGGCCGCUUUGACAUGUCUCGCUAAAGAACCUCUCCGUUGUAUGACCGGUGAAAAUCAAGCUUUUCUAUCCGCCAAUAAACUAGGUGUUUGCAACGGCUGAAGAAGGCAGCUACUCGUCUUCUACAAAGACCUGAGUGUCCGGAUCAGACCCUAAAGAUCAGGCGAUCUUCUAAUGGAGAGCCUCUUGUCCUCAGAGAGAUCGGUAUUCAUGUACUGAAUACGGACUUGGGGAUCAUGAAUGACUGGAGUCUUCA